rnacentral:rRNA from 1 species
AUUGAACGCUGGCGGCAUGCCUUACACAUGCAAGUCGAACGGUAACGCGGGGCAACCUGGCGACGAGUGGCGAACGGGUGAGUAAUGCAUCGGAACGUGCCCAGUAGUGGGGGAUAGCCCGGCGAAAGCCGGAUUAAUACCGCAUACGACCUAAGGGUGAAAGGGGGGGAUCGCAAGACCUCUCGCUAUUGGAGCGGCCGAUGUCAGAUUAGGUAGUUGGUGGGGUAGAGGCCUACCAAGCCGACGAUCUGUAGCUGGUCUGAGAGGACGACCAGCCAGACUGGGACGGAGACACGGCCCAGAGUCCUACGGGAGGCAGCAGUGGGGAAUUUUGGACAAUGGACGCAAGUCUGAUCCAGCCAUGCCGCGUGCGGGAAGAAGGCCUUCGGGUUGUAAACCGCUUUUGUCAGGGAAGAAAUCUUCUGGGUUAAUACCUCGGGAGGAUGACGGUACCUGAAGAAUAAGCACCGGCUAACUACGUGCCAGCCGCCGCCGUAA